rnacentral:rRNA from 1 species
GAAGGCAGCAGUGGGGAAUAUUGGACAAUGGGGGCAACCCUGAUCCAGCCAUGCCGCGUGUGUGAAGAAGGCCCUCGGGUUGUAAAGCACUUUCAGCGAGGAAGAACGCCUAGUGGUUAAUACCCAUUAGGAAAGACAUCACUCGCAGAAGAAGCACCGGCUAACUCCGUGCCAGCAGCCGCGGUAAUACGGAGGGUGCAAGCGUUAAUCGGAAUUACUGGGCGUAAAGCGCGCGUAGGUGGCUUGAUAAGCCGGUUGUGAAAGCCCCGGGCUCAACCUGGGAACGGCAUCCGGAACUGUCAGGCUAGAGUGCAGGAGAGGAAGGUAGAAUUCCCGGUGUAGCGGUGAAAUGCGUAGAGAUCGGGAGGAAUACCAGUGGCGAAGGCGGCCUUCUGGACUGACACUGACACUGAGGUGCGAAAGCGUGGGUAGCAAACAGGAUUAGAUACCCUGGUAGUCCACGCCGUAAACGAUGUCGACCAGCCGUUGGGUGCCUAGCGCACUUUGUGGCGAAGUUAACGCGAUAAGUCGACCGCCUGGGGAGUACGGCCGCAAGGUUAAAACUCAAAUGAAUUGACGGGGGCCCGCACAAGCGGUGGAGCAUGUGGUUUAAUUCGAUGCAACGCGAAGAACCUUACCUACCCUUGACAUCGACAGAAGCCGAGAGAGAUCUUGGUGUGCCUUCGGGAACUGUCAGACAGGUGCUGCAUGGCUGUCGUCAGCUCGUGUUGUGAAAUGUUGGGUUAAGUCCCGUAACGAGCGCAACCCUUGUCCUUAUUUGCCAGCGCGUAAUGGCGGGAACUCUAAGGAGACUGCCGGUGACAAACCGGAGGAAGGUGGGGACGACGUCAAGUCAUCAUGGCCCUUACGGGUAGGGCUACACACGUGCUACAAUGGCCGGUACAAAGGGCAGCGAGCUCGCGAGAGUCAGCGAAUCCCUUAAAGCCGGUCUCAGUCCGGAUCGGAGUCUGCAACUCGACUCCGUGAAGUCGGAAUCGCUAGUAAUCGGAAUCAGA